GAGAGAGAGAAGUACGUGUUUUCAUUCAAAAGGCAUUGUCGUGUAAAGGCACAAUAACAGUUUUUUCCUGUGUUCUUUUUCUCAGCGUAAUUUUUUUCUAUUUUUUCUUUCUUUGUCAAAUAUAUCUUAAAAAAUACAAUACAAAAUAUUCAUUAUGAACAGUGUUCUAAAUGACGAGCAGGCUAGGAUUUAUCACUAAUUUAUGUGAAUUUAUGUGAAAUAAUCCAAGUUAAAGAAAAUGAAAAAGGAUCAUAGCUAGAAGUCUAGAAAAUAUAGCAUCUAUAAUGAAGAAUCAUAGAAGAAGCUGCACUGCCAAUUUGAAGAAUGAUAGCUGGAAAUAAAGGAAAUUUGAAAAGAUAUCUUUCGAGACAGACAUUGAGAAAUAUAUUCUGAUACACAAUUGAAUUAGACAGUGGUAAUGAUGAUUCAUUGACAUUAUGACCCAUUAUGUAAAAAUAACCGAAACGAAUUUCUAUAAGAACCAGCAGAAAUUACAUCUUAUACAUCAAGGUGACAAGAAGUAUCAUAGGUACUUGCUCCUAGAUUCCUGUAAAUAUGUUGCCCAUUUCAUUUUAUAAUAGUAAUGAAUUUAAAGAGUUUAUGGCUAUAUUGUAACUAGGAUAUUGGUGUCUUUGAUCCUAAAAGUGUUCUAAAGAGAUGAAGAAAAUUUUAAAGAGAUGAUUAUGUGUAUAAGAAUAGAUGAAGAAGAAUAGAAACAAAAUUUUCUGUAGUAACUAGCAUAGCUUUCAUGGAAGGCUAUGGAAAUUGCAAGGUAGGGUUUUUAUUAUUAUAUUAACACAACAGAAAUGUAGUUAUGUUUGUUCUAACAAACACAAUGAUUAUGAUAUUAAGUGUUACAAUCUGAAAACCUUUAAAUGUAGUAACUAUAGUGUUAUGUUUAAAAAAUUUGUUUGGUACUUUACAUCCUUUAUAGUCUUAUUAAUAAUCAUCUCAAAAUUAAUGAUAUGGGUAAACUUGAAAGAGUGAUGUCAGUGAAUUGUUUUUUUGGAAAUUGAAAGUAUGGGAUUGAAUUGAAGAUAUUGACUUAGAGACACCUUGCUUUUUGAGCCCAGAUAAACUUUUAGUACAUUUUAGUUUUUUUUUGAUGUGUGAACAUGAAGAAACUGGAGAAUUACAGUUCAAGAUUAUGUUUUUGAGGAUCUUUUUAAGCUAUUGAUGGACCAAUGCUUAAAGAUAGUAAUGUUUACUCCAAUUUAAAAAUUUAUUAUCUCUAUAAAGUUAUAAUAUGUUGACAGCAAUAACAAAAGAAAGAAGAUGCUCAUUAUCAUCAACUACUAUAUUACAUUAAUCUGUUGGUGUGUAUUCAGUAACAAGUACACAGAAUAAUCAGAUGCAACAGGAGCAGAUACAAAUACAGAUCUCAUCUGUUUGUCAUGGGGUCUUGAUAAUUUUCAACAAUAGCAGCAGUCCGGUUCUCAGAGUAACCUACAUAAGAACAUAUUCUAUAUCUUCUGGUUCCUUUGGCAGCUUCUAAGCUAAUGAUAUCUAUUGAAUCCAAUUGGAUUUUGCUCUCCAGCAGUAUUCUCCAACAGUAAUUACAUUUAGUUUAUAAAUGAAGAAUUUCUUAUGUAUAUCACUCAUAUAACAUAUAAGAUAUAAACAUACAAAUGAUGGAGAAAUACUCUAGUGAGUUUAGUUAUAUAACAAUCAGGAAGAAGGAUUAUUUCUUUUCAGAAGAAAAACGUACGCACGUUUUUGGAUAAAAAUUUAUAGGUUGAUGCAUAGAGAAAUAAGAGGAAUAUUUAUUAUAGUUGAAAUAAAUCUACAAAUCAUAGAGAGUUAUAACACAUAACAAAAAUAACAAACACAGAAAAUAGAAUAUAAUUUCGUUUAAAUGCCUAAUAAUAAAGAGAAAAUUUGUCAAAUGUAUUUUAUUGGAGACAUUAUUAAGUGGAACAGAUCACUCCUGAACAUAUCAAACAUUGAUGAUACAUAUUAGCAAUGGCUUAGCGAACAUAGCUCUCUAAUUCAAUCAAAUUGGUUGGUCAAUUGUAAUAUAUAAUACUCUUUAAGUAUAUUUUAAAUUUAAAAUUACUCCUUAAAGCUGAAUACAUGGAAAUCUUUUAACAUAUUUACAAUGGCAAAAUUUUAAGUUUGUAUGAGUAGUAGUAUAACAUGAUCUCUUGAUUAAGAGUUAAAUAUAAAAGAAUUUGCUGUUAUCUUUGCUAAGUUUUUCUAAAUAAAAUGUGGACAUGUUACUGUACUUGCAUUAUAGUAUAGAAUUCGACUUUCUUAUUGGAAUCAAAUGUGAUAAGUAUUAAGUUUAUAAAAAGGAAUUUAUCGAUUACAUAUUUUCAUGUCUUUUCCUAUUCUGUGUAGAGACUCAUUUUUUUCCAUAAAAUUUUUAAUAAGUGUAUAUUAUGAUUGGAAAAUAUAAAUCUGAAUUUACAAAACUAUUCAAGAUAAAACUAACUUCUUAAACGUUACAAUUCAACUUUUCUUUUUUUUAGUUUUGGUUGUAAGAAAUAGAAUAGUAUCAUUUUUAUUAGUAAUUACAUAGUAAUUUAUAAAAGAGAAGGGACUAGGGUGACGAAUGUAUUUUGUAUAGUGAUUGUGAUUAAGGAUAAUUAUAUAGACAUAUAUUCAAAUAAAAAUAGUUGAUACAACACAUAAUAUAAAGCUAUAACGAUUAACAAUUCUGUUUUUUUAUAAUAUUUCAACUCUAGAUAAAUAAACCGCGUUACGACUCUAAUUACAUUACAACU